GAGAAUCUAGUAAACAUAAUUACAUGACCCUGUCAUAGUCAAGUCACAUCUCUGUGGUUCUCA
rnacentral:tRNA from 1 species